CAGUUCGGAUUGUAGUCUGCAACUCGACUACAUGAAGCUGGAAUCGCUAGUAAUCGCGAAUCAGAAUGUCGCGGUGAAUACGUUCCCGGGUCUUGUACACACCGCCCGUCACACCAUGGGAGUUGGGAAUGCCCGAAGCCGGUGACCUAACCGAAAGGGAGGAGCCGUCGAAGGCAGGCUUGAUAACUGGGGGUGAAGUCGUAACAAGGUAGC
rnacentral:rRNA from 1 species